GCAGGCGGUAAAAAGUAUACGGAGGCUCGCAGGCACACUGUCUCUUCGUCUGGGGUGCGUGUUCCAAACAUUGCUCCUGUAGCCACAAAUGUAGCUUCCGCUUGCUGUGGUACAUCCACGAACAGCGCAAGAUGUUCCCGAACCACACGAUUUUUUUACAUUUUUGGGGGCUAAAUCGUAUUGAUAAGCUCUCAGAGUUAUUCGGAUAAACAGCUAACUCGAACGCUAACUUACAGUUCUUUUCAAUGGCCAAAUACUACUUCCGGUUAGCUCAUCUGAAGUUGGGUGCACGAUAGUUUCUACAUGAGCCGGGCCAGGAAUAAAGUGGAUAG